rnacentral:lncRNA from 10 species
CCGGCCUCGGCCUCCCAAAGUGUUGGGUUACAGGCGUGAGCCACCGCGCCCGGCCUUUAGCAAUUAGCUUUUUGAUUUUUUUCUUCCGGUUCCUUUGCUCAUAAAUCUCUACAAGCGGAUCACUGCUCUGCCGCAGAAGCGCCACCUGCCACGACAGACUCAAGUUUGUGUGCUGCCGCUGAUGGGUUGUGUCCAUUUGCUUUCGGAGAAGGCUCCAAGUCUAGGUUCCGAAUUCGGUUGCAAGCUGGGGACCUUACUGGGGGGUUACACAGACCACGGCGUCUGACUUCCUCUCAAUCUCACGAGCCAAAGCUCCUGUCAGCAUCUUGGACAGUCUUUCCCGGGGCAGCGGCCACCACCCCGCUUCGGCUGGCCCUCCGCCCUCGAGCCGGACUGUCGCUGCACUGGACCGCCUCGCACUACCCAACACACGCAGCACGGCUGCCGGCGCCGGGACCCUGC